rnacentral:rRNA from 1 species
GAUGAACGCUGGCGGCGUGCCUAAUACAUGCAAGUCGAGCGAACGGACGAGAAGCUUGCUUCUCUGAUGUUAGCGGCGGACGGGUGAGUAACACGUGGAUAACCUACCUAUAAGACUGGGAUAACUUCGGGAAACCGGAGCUAAUACCGGAUAAUAUUUUGAACCGCAUGGUUCAAAAGUGAAAGGCGGUCUUGCUGUCACUUAUAGAUGGAUCCGCGCUGCAUUAGCUAGUUGGUAAGGUAACGGCUUACCAAGGCAACGAUGCAUAGCCGACCUGAGAGGGUGAUCGGCCACCCUGGAACUGAGACAGGGCCCAAACUCCUACGGGGGGCAGCAGUGGGGAAUCUUCCGCAAGGGGCGAAAGCCUGACGGGGCAACGCCGGGGGGGGGAUGAAGGUCUUCGGAUCGUAAAACUCUGUUAUUAGGGAAGAACAUAUGUGUAAGUAACUGUGCACAUCUUGACGGUACCUAAUCAGAAAGCCCCGGCUAACUACGU